rnacentral:misc_RNA from 1 species
AAAAGAAGUGAUAGGUCCUUUCUAUGCCAAGUCUUACAAACGGCAAAGAAGACGGAAACGUGGAACAACGGAAACAGCUAACUGCUGUGCUGUGCUGUGCUGUGCUCGCCUUGGUUCCUCCAAUUCUGAGGCUAACCACCUCCAAAGUAAGCUCUGGAAUUUCUCUUCUCUGUCCAAAAUCAGACCAGAUUACUUCCACUUCUCAUCACUAUGCUUCUCCAUUUACCUUCCCAGAAAACCUUCUCUGUAAGUAUUCCUCUUCCUCUCCCUCGAAAAUGAAAUGAUUGUGCGUUUUGUUCUUGAAUUUUUUAUUUCUGUAUUCUUCUUGGAGUUGAAAUUUACCAUGCAGGCAUUCACAAGUAGAAGAAAGUUUCUGGGAACUUUCAUUAGAGGCAAGUUGUAUGAUCCAUUUUAAUCUUUGAUCGAUUUUAGCAUCACAGAUGAUUGACAGCCUCUCUUUUCUUCUAAACUCUUGUGGGUUUAAAGAUUUUGUUCAAUCGCCGAGCAGAGGGAGAUGGUUCAUUCCUUUUCGACCUUAUGUAAAGUUUGAGCAAACGACGUGCCGUAUCUCAGUUCCUGGGAAUGAAGAAAAUGCGCCUUCAAGCUAUUUGAGGGACAAGAAGAAGAUGGUUCCUCAUUCAGACCCUCCCAGCAAUAAGGAUGUUAAUCUUUUGUAUCAAUUUUUUGAUCAUAGCACUAAUCUCGUGGUAUUGAGUGGAGCUGGAAUUAGUACAGAGUGUGGAAUUCCUGAUUACAGAAGCUUGUGCUGAGGACGUGCCAGUGACCAGCAGUUUUGUGUUAUGGUGGCAACUGUGGAUGUGGCUAGUUUUUCUUUUUUGUUUGAUUGAUCUAGUGAAUCCCUCAUUUUAUAUUUUCUUUCUCCAUCCCUCUGUUAUCACUUUAUGUAACUGUCUCGAAUACGAUUCAAAAAUUUCUUCUUCGUCAUCUUCUUGUUUUUCCCCCUUUGUUCUAAAGUUGGGAUUGCAGUUAAAUCUUUUUAUUUCUCAAAGCAUUUAAGGUGAAAUUUAUCUCUGCUGAAUUAAGAGUACCAUAUGCACUCAAUAUGUCACAUUCUUAUUUUUUUGCAGCCCGAAUGGAGCUUACAGUUCUGGUUUCAAACCAAUUACUCAUCAGGAGUUUCUUCAUUCAAGUCGGGCCCGCAGGCGGUAUUGGGCUCGGAGCUAUGCUGGAUGGAGACAGUUUACUGCUGCACAGCCUGGUGCAGCUCAUUUUGCUUUAGCAUCACUAGAAAAGGCAGGCCGUGUCAAUUUUAUGGUUACACAAAAUGUUGACAGACUACAUCAUCGUGCUGGGAGCAAUCCACUUGAAUUACAUGGAACUGUGUAUUCCGUCAUUUGUCUAGACUGCAGUUUUUCCUUUAGUCGGAAUUUAUUUCAGGACCAGCUGAAGGCCCUCAAUCCAAAGUGGGCUGCAGCAGUUGAAAGUUUGGAUUAUGGAAGUCCUGGAUCAGACAAAAGCUUUGGCAUGAAGCAGAGGCCAGAUGGUGAUAUUGAGAUUGAUGAAAAAUUCUGGGAGGAAGAUUUCCACAUACCUACAUGCCAAAAGUGCAAUGGGGUGCUCAAACCUGAUGUUGUUUUCUUUGGUGAUAAUGUUCCAAAGGAUAGAGCAGACAAGGCAAUGGAGGCUGCAAAAGGAUGUGAUUCAUUCCUUGUUCUGGGAUCAUCUCUAAUGACCAUGUCUGCUUUUCGACUUGUUAGGGCUGCUCAUGAGGCGGGUGCUGCUACGGCAAUUGUAAAUGUAGGAGUGACAAGAGCUGAUGAUUUUGUGCCCUUGAGAAUUAAUGCCCGAUUAGGAGAGGUAAAGUCCUCUGAAACCAACUUGGGAGCUAGCUUCUGCCAUUUUGUGUUACUUUUGUUGAUCCUCAGCAUUUUGUGUUAAUCCCCAUGGAUUUUUAAUAGAUACUGCCUAGAGUGAUUGAUAUUGGAUACCUUAGCAUCCCUGCUUUCUAGGUAUGAUAUUGGAAACCAGGUAUAUUCCAUUCUUUUCAAUCCCAAAAAUGGUGUUGAUGGCUAUCAAAUCAUUUUGGUAAAUGGUAAGAUUUCAAGAGCAAUGAAUUGAAUGGUUCAUGUUUUCUCCUUUUGUUUCUAGGUGAGGACUUCAAAUGAAGGAUGCAUCUGUACCCAUUACAAAGUAAUUACGUUUACUUCCUGUUUUAACCAUAAAAGCUGAAAAGCAAUACCAAAGAAUUGACAAUUUUUAUUUUUAUUUUUUGGUGAAAGCAAUUUACAAUUUUUAAUUGUUUGCUUUGAAUGUAUUGUUUCAAAUUUUCACCUGAUUAGAGUCGAUUAACCAAUUAUGGGCAGAGAUUCUUCUUUAGGCUCUCUUUGAGAUUGUGAUCGAGAGACGAAAAGUAUUUUUUAGACAACAUUUUAUUGAUUUAUGUUUUCUCAUUUUUCAUUCAAAGACAAAAUGUCCCAAGGGUUCCAGUUACUAAAACGAGCUUUAUCCCUG